AUACUUACCUGGCAAGGGAGACACCGUGAUCACCAAGGCGGUUCACCCAGGGCGAGGCUCAGCCAUUGCACUGCGGCUGUGCUGACCCCUGCGAAUUUCCCAAAUGUGGAAAUCUCGAUUGCAUAAUUUCUGGUAGUGGGGGACUGCGUUCGCGCUCUCCCCUG
ensembl:snRNA U1 U1 spliceosomal RNA